rnacentral:rRNA from 1 species
UACAGAGGUCUCGAGCGUUGUUCGGAUUCAUUGGGCGUAAAGGGUGCGUAGGCGGCGCGGUAAGUCGGGUGUGAAAUUCGUGAGCUUAACUCCGAAACUGCAUUCGAUACUGCGUGCUUGAGGACUGGAGAGGAGACUGGAAUUACGGUGUAGCGGUGAAAUGCGUAGAGAUCGAUGAGGAAGACCAGUGGCGAAGGCGGGUCUCUGGACAGUUCCUGACACUGAGGCACGAAGGCCAGGGGAGCAAACGGG